rnacentral:rRNA from 1 species
GACGAACGCUGGCGGCGUGCCUAAUACAUGCAAGUCGAACGCAGUGGGGACGGGUGAGUAACACGUGGGUAACCUCCCAUCAGAGGGGAUAACACUUGGAAACAGGUGCUAAACCGAUACUGAUGGAUGGACCCGCGGUGCAUUAGCUAGUUGGUGGGGUAACGGCGCACCAAGGCCACGAUGCAUAGCCGGGCUGGGAGGGUGAUCGGGCAAAAUGGGACUGAGACACGGGCCAGACUCCUACGGGAGGCAGCAGGUGGGAAUCUUCCGCAAAGGGCGAAAGUCUGAAGGAGGAACGCCGCGGGAGUGAUGACGGGCUUCGGGUUGUAAAGCUCUGUUAAGCGGGACGCGGUACCGAAAUAGAAAGCAACGGCUAACUACGUGCCAGCAGCCGCGGUAAUAC